AAUUCCACAUUGUUCUCAUCCUGCCAUGGGCAUCCGAGCCCUGUGCUGUGUGGCCCUUUGUCUCCUGCGAGUAGAGCCCACAGAUGCUGGAGUCACCCAGACACCCAGGCAUGAGGUGACAGAAGUGGGACACGCAGUAACUCUGAGUUGUGAGCCGAUUUCAGACCACACUGUGCUUUAUUGGUACAGACAGACCUUGGUGCAGGGAUUGGAGUUUCUGAUUUACUUCCUCAACCAAGCUCCUAUGGACGACUCAGGGAUGCCCAAGGACCGAUUCUCAGCUAAGAUGCCGAAUGCAUCAUUCUCCACUCUGAAGAUCCAGCCCACAGAACCUGGGGACUCAGCCACGUACCUCUGUGCCAGCAGCAACAUCACAGGCAGAUAUGCCUAUGAGGGACCAGGGACUCUCCGAACUCCCACCUCUCAACCCAGAGAUCAGAGUCUCAUUCCUGUCCCGGCCCUGCCAUGGGUCCCAGGCUUCUCCAUUGUGUGGCCUUUUGUCUCCUUGGAGCAGCCAUACAAGGGCAUCUUAUACGAGUACAACUUCUGUGACGAUCCAAUGCCAUCAGAUGGAUUUACAGGAACCAACGAUUUUCCAGAACUGACAGUUAUUUCCGCAGAGCUUAGCAUUGACUAUGACCCCUGCUGA